rnacentral:rRNA from 1 species
CACGUAGGGCGCAAGCGUUGUCCGGAAUCAUUGGGCGUAAAGAGCUCGUAGGCGGUCUGUUGCGUCUGCUGUGAAAACCCGGGGCUUAACCCCUGGCUUGCAGUGGAUACGGACAGACUAGAGGUAGGUAGGGGAGAAUGGAAUUCCCGGUGUAGCGGUGAAAUGCGCAGAUAUCGGGAGGAACACCGGUGGCGAAGGCGGUUCUCUGGGCCUUACCUGACGCUGAGGAGCGAAAGCGUGGGGAGCGAACAGG